AAUAUUGGACAAUGGGGGCAACUCUGCUCCAGCCAUGCCGCGUGUGUGAAGAAGGUCUUCGGUUUNUAAAGCACUUUACGUUGGGANGAAGUGCUUUAGGCUAAUACCCUUAAGUUUUGACGUUACCAACAGAUCAAGCACCUGCUAACUCUGUGCCACCAGCCGCGGUAAUACAGAGGGUGCAAGCGUUAAUCGGAAUUACUGGGCGUAAAGCGCGCGUAGGUGGUUCAGUAAGAUGGGUGUGAAAUCCCCGGGCUUAACCUUGGAACUGCUUUCAUAACUGCUGAGCUAGAGUACGGUAGAGGGUAGUGGAAUUUCCUGUGUAGCGGUGAAAUGCGUAGAUAUAGGAAGGAGCACCAGUGGCGAAGGCGACUACCUGGACUGAUACUGACACUGAGGUGCGAAAGCGUGGGGAGCAAACA
rnacentral:rRNA from 1 species